rnacentral:lncRNA from 1 species
UUUUUUUCCUCGAUUGUUCUUGGUGCUUCUUGUUGAGAUCUCUUGCAAGAAAAUAUCGUUUCGGCUUCAAUCAUCGUUUAUGUUUGUCGCUCAGAAAAUUUCGGUUUUCGACUUUUAGGAUUUCGAUGGGUGUUCCUCCGUGCUUUUUAUGUCUUUUUAUUUCUCUAGACCUGAGUUUUGAAGGAGAAAAUAAGAUUUCGAUCUGGGGUAUGUUGUGAAUUGUGCUUCUAAUCUUCCAAUUGAUCAUCAAAUUAGG